AUGUGUCUGGUUUUAAUGCUUAAAAUAAAUACUUGCGUCCUGGUUUGUCCUGCACUUGUCAUGCAGCCGUUGGAAAGCGUUUCUCAGGCGCUGUGCUGCUGUCUGGCUGGCUGGCCGCGCUGGGGCCGCACCUUUACUCCAUCUGGCCCUCGCCACGCUGAGGGCAGCCUUGGCGAGCAGGUGGCCCCUGUGCCCAACCAGCAGACAGGAGACCCGGGCCUAGAAGAGGGACGCAGGCCUGGGACAGCGUGCAGUGCCCAGGACUGUCUGGCAAGGAGUGCCCCGUGUUGGGGAGCGGGCACGGAAACCCCGUACCCAAAUGAAGGAGCUCAGGACAACCAUGCGGACAAAUCUCGGGCCCUUCUCGGAAGAAGGGAGAUUUCAAGAGCUAUUUGAGGGACAGAGAUGGGCUUAGUGGUUGGUAGGAGACGAGGAACCAGCCGCAAGUUGGAAGGAAGCUGCGAGGGGUCUGUGUGGUCAGCCCGGCUCUGGGAGCUGGCCAGGCUGCUCCCUGCAGACCACUGGAGAGAGUGGUUUCACUAAGACUUCCGGUCUCCGUGUACCGUGGAGGUGGCCGAUUCUAGGAAAGAUGCGAGCAGAGCCUCUCUCCCAGGCUCGGGUCACCGACUCACCCUCCCCUGCCAGCCAUGUGUGCUGCUCUCCUUUUCUCUGUUUUCUCUUCACUGCCGCAUGCGUGCCAUGCGUGCUGUGCCCCGCAGCCUUGGGGACAGGUGCGUGUGCCUCUUGCGGCUGGCCCCCCUCUCUCGGCCCUCGCCCUUCCUCUGCUGCCUCCUCCCCCCUGGAUCUUCUUUCCCCCUUUUCACUCUCGUUCAUUUUCUUAGUCUUAGCUCACAUUCAUGACACAUAAUGUUCUNNNNNNNNNNNNNNNNNNNNNNNNNNNNNNNNNNNNNNNNNNNNNNNNNNNNNNNNNNNNNNNNNNNNNNNNNNNNNNNNGUAGGGUAUUAGAUUCCUGUACGUGGCACGUCUCUGUUCUAAUUUCCUCUCCCCCUCCUCCUUCCCCCUCAGUCUCCCUUCCCAUUUGCAAGAGACCCAGCCCCUCACUUCCUCUGUCCAUCCUUUAUUCUUUAUUGUACUUGAAGGAAUAAAAAUUGCAUUUUAAUUCUGGUUUUGGUGCAAGGCGGGGUGUGUUUCUCUUGAGUAUGUGCCGUUGGAUAUUCUGCCAUUAGUUGCGUAAAAAUAUUGUAAUGUGUUUUCUGAAAAGUCACACAUUUCAACUAGUUUCAAGAGUAGGUUUCCAAAAUAAUGAGAAUAAUUGUAUUAGAACAACUAUGCCUCUAAUUUGUUUUAUAUGCUAAAAAUAAUUAUGCACAAAGUAGCAUCCAUUUUUCCAUUAAACAUUGAUCUAUCGAAUCAGUAUUCCUGUAAAGAUUUCCAUACAGACUUGUGAACUGAUCUCAGAAUCUAAGGAGGGGUUGGCUGUGUGAUGUCACCUCGGCUAAAGACGCAGGGUGACGCCGCCCCAUGCCGUGAACGCUGGCUGUGUGUGUGUGACGUGUGAAGCCACCGUGCAUUCUGGGUGCUGGUCUCACGUCUCUUCAGGCGCAUUUCUUUCCUUUAUUGUAUGGGUCACUAGAAAGCCUUUGUGUACCUGGCAAGAUUGUAAAUUCCUAGCAGUGACUGUCUCGUGAAGAGAACCUGAGUCUGGAUCACUGCUGUGGGUCUGGCAUCGCAGUGAAAGUGAGCAGGACGUCCCCACACGCGUAACAGGCGGCUGGGCAAGGUGGCCUUCACCAUCAACCUGUGAGCCUUGGUGGCGUCCUGCUGCUUGAGUUGUUAAAAUGUUGAUAGCCCUGUGGUUGUUGUUAUCUCUCUGCACUCUUUUUAAAAAGCACGCCCUGUCAGGCGUCACACUCUGUAGCAAGGUACAAAGCCCUGAGGACCAAGACCACUUCCUCUGCCCCGCAGGGUCGAGGUCUUGUUAGGAGAGCAGGAGGGGAAGGGGGCGGCUGUGGGGUCACGGGGAAGGGCGCGAAUUACAGGAAGGAAGCGACAGACCAAAAUGGAGAGAACUGAGAAAGCCCUGGGCUCGGCAUUUAGGAAGUCAUGCCGGGCGUGGUGGCGCAUGCCUGUGAUCCCAACACUUGGGAAGCUGCGGCAGGAGGAUCCCAGCAAGUUCAAGGCCAGCCUGGCUCAUCUCAAAAAAAAGAAAACCGUAUAUGAGUAGGUUUCGAGUGAUAAAGGAGCCGGAGCUGGGGAAACGCUGCUGUGGGCUCUCCCCCGCAUCACAGUGGGGCUCCUGAGGAAGCGCCUCUUGGCUGUCAGGGUGUCCUGGCCUCGGGAGAAAAGCCCACUCCUGCAGGAGGCUCUUUCCUGGCUUCUCUAGUCUUCUGUCACGUCUGCCACCUCCUGUUGCGCCUGCGUCUACUGCAGCUGUUGGGGUCUUAGAGACUUUCGCCCCAACCUUCUCCCGUUUCCCUCUGACGAUGGGGCUCCCAUGAAGACGUCCCAGGACCCGGGUGUGAAGGAGUCGCUGAGCUACAGCCCGCAGCCCCCCGGCCACU
rnacentral:lncRNA from 1 species